CUGGUCGAGGGUGGUUAGUGGAAGCAACUGGCAUGGGUUCCUUUUCAUCCGCGCUGACUAAAUCCAUUGCCAUCGCGCUUCUUGUGAGGCCCAGAGGGAGCAUGCGAAGGGAGAGGCAGCACCAAACUUGAAGCGAAUCCAUAGGCGUACCAGUGUGUCUCCGGUUCCUUGAUGCGGAGACAAUGGUGUGGUUGACCGUAGGUGUGUGUCCUCGGAGGAGCUUGGAUGAGAAUCUCACAUGAAGAUAAGUCGACUUUUAAUUCAACGAACCCUUUUCUGCAAAAGCUUGUGCCCCAGUGGGGGAAUUAAGGAGAUGAGGUACAGAAAACUGCUCUGCUGCAGGACAGAUUUACUUAAAUGUAGACCCGCUAGAUGAAAAUAAGCAACUCACUUUACAGAAGCCACAAGGGGUCGCUGCUCGGGGUGUUAAGUGUACUUCUGGAUGGGGAAGUAUGCAAUCCCUUCUAAAGGGAAUCAUUGUUUUUGAGUUGUGUUUAUGUGUUUUUACAUUUCCUUAUAAGUUGUACAUGCUUUUUGCUGCUAUAUUUUAAAUUGUCUUAUGGUGACAUCGAAGUUCUCAAUCGUUUGAUUACAUCUUUGCUUCCUCUAAUAACUUCA
rnacentral:lncRNA from 1 species